GGUUCCCCUAGCCCAGAAAGGGGAGUGGAGUUCUCUUCCCAAUUUUGAAGAAGAACAGCAAUUACAUGAUGGAGUCAGGAGUGAGGGGAUGGAUGCCGCAGGGCAGAAGACUCUGUGGGAAGGGAAGGUGCUCAGGUGCCCUGACGGCUCUGGAUGCUCCAAGCCCCAGUCUCUGCAGUGCUGUCCAGAGCCCAGACAGGCUAGCCUGUGCUUCUCCACUGAUCAACCAGAGAGACUGAGAAGGGCUAGGCUGCUGCUACAACCCCGUGACAGGAUGAAUCCCUAUUACUAUGGCAACACAGAUGGCUGGUGUGCCACCAGCUCAUUCUCAUAGACAGGGAUGUGAGAACCUGGAGUCAGGGCUCUGUCACUUCGGACAGCACCUUCAGGUAACCUGGUGGAGGUCUGGAUCCUGCAGAGAAUUGACCCAGAUCUGGUUCUGGUUCUGCACCACUGAUGGGCCACUCCCAGUGCCAACCCUCAGCAGCAGCUGCAGUAGCUGAUCCUGGUGGACAGGUGCUUGUACACAGGAGACAACUACCGCACCCAGCUGGUGCCUGUGGGAACUGCCUCGGGGCUGCACUUCCCCUCUCACCACCAACGCUUCAUUGUCAGCAACUUCACCUUCAUGGAGUCUGCCUUCCAGCGGGUGCUCACAGGGCCAGUAUGGCUUCUGAACAAUACAGGGUCCUUCCACCUAUCUCCUCCAGCCCCUGAGCUAGGGAGGGAAACUGGCUCUAAAAAGCCAAGCUUGACUGCCAGCAACUAGAGGAAGAACAAUUCUCUUGCUUGCAGCAGUGGAUACCUGGGUAACUCCCAGAAAUUAGUAGGAUGGGCUCUAACUUUGAGAGAGCCCUGCACGUCCAGCUUUGUGCCUGUCUCUAUUCUAAGACCUCAGGCACACAGCAUGCUGUGGGAGUCCCAUGGUGCACCAUCCCACUUGGACAGAGGGGAGACUGCAGUGCAUCAUGGGAGAUGCAGGAGCGCUCAGCCCACAGGAGGAAGGUGUUUGAGCUACGACUCCCAUGAGGUAAUGCAGCACCACAUUUCAGCUUCUGUUUGAAUCUCCUGAUUCACUUUUCCAUCACAAAUCUCCAAUUUUGCAGGUUUUGCCCUUCUCGUCCCUAGUGCUGCUCCGGACCAGCUCUGAUACUCCCAGCCUAACCUGCUGUUUCAGCCCAGCCCUAGGUAUUGCUCAUGUCCAGUCUCUCCAUCCCUUUGAAUGGGUUUAGGUCUCAUUUAUCUGCAGGGUGAGAUUCCUCCAGUUCUGCCAUGUGGCCAAGUUCUGCUCAGGUGAGGCCCCGAACUCUGUGCUGCUUCCUUGCCUACAAGCGGGGGAGGGGAUGGGGACGGGGACCCUGCAAUGCAUUGACCUUGCUGCUCUGACCCCCCCAAGGCACUCGGCAUAGCUGUAAUAGGGCUUCCCCCAACUCCUGAACGCACACAUGGGUGCCUACACGAUUGGGGCUCCUGGCACAUGGAUACAAAGGCAACCUCCAACCCCGCUACACUUGCCCCAAGGUGGCUGCUUCUGAACUUCAAGAGCUCCAGGCCCUAACCCAUGCCCUCUCCUCUAGGUGUACCUGCACUGCACCACUUCCAUGUGCUGGCCCUCCAGUCUGGAGCCUGUGAGUGUCCUGGCCCCUCUGCCUCCCCUUCUCUCUGUGGGAUGGGAUAAGAAGGCUUAGCAGGAAUCAGCUGUCUCUCUGGAACUGGGUCUGAGAAACCUGGGAGUGGGGUCCUCCUCUUCUCCCUCCUGCCAUGAGACUGUUGCUUCUGGGCACAGACUUCCUCUAAUACUGGGGGUAACAUCGUUCUUGCAGUGAGCAGCUCCAUCUCCCAGAGCCUCUUUGAGAAGUCCAAAUUCAGCCUCAUCCCAAGGGAAAAGGACAUGUACUCCUCAAUCCCUGAACAAUGGGGAGUGUCCUGGUUCUGGAAGGCGGGGAGUGCUAGGCUAUGUGGGUCUCCUGAAGUAGAGACCUGGUGGUGUGGGAGUACAGGUUUCUUGUCUGUGCCUUGCAAUUAAACUCUUGCUGGCUUUAUGGGGGGCAAGAGGAGCUCCAAGCAGCACCCUCAAGAUAGGCCUUUCCCCAUCACCAGCUGGGGGGCUGAUGUACUCUUCCAGGACUGGAUGAGGAGAAGCUGCCGUGGAUGGAUGGGGUGAGUAUCUGAGCCCUGGUGUAACUGUAGUCUGAAGCUGACCUUGUCCCUGAGCCUGGUGUGAGCUGCCCAGUGGUAGAAAUUCCCUUCAAGGGAACCGUACAUGCUGCUGGGCAAUCGAACAAGGGCACUAAGCCAGAGCAACAACUUGUGUACUGGGUGACUCUGCAUUUCAGGCUGCAUUCUGGGUGUUGUGGUCACAUCUGAAAUAGCAUCUACUGCCUCAUCUAUAGCUGCCACAUUCUCCAGCCCCUGGGCAGGGUGGGAGUCUGCCAUGAGCAGGAAAGGGCUGGCAGUGGGAGAGAGAAGAUUCCUGUUCCUCCUACCCCUCCCUGGGCCGUGCAGACUGGGUGUAUGGCUAAUAACUGCUUUGUCUCCUUCCUGCACGCUUGUCUCAGAGCACCUUGGACUGCAGCUUGGGCCAGCGCAGCAGUUGGGGGAGGGGCAGUCCAUGUCACUCCUGGCAACUGCAUGGUGGAGAUGGAGGAGAAAUGCACUUGUGAAACCAGAAUCUUGAAUUAAAACCAUUCCAGACAUACUGUGUCUCUGGCUCUUCUCUGCCCAUCUCUGCAGUCUCCCCAUGAGAAGGGGAGAACGAACCUGAGAUGGGUGUGGGUGGAGCAACGGGCAAAAUCCCUGCUAGACACAUUGUUUAUGGAAGCUUUCCCUCCACUCUCCUGGCUUCUGCCACAGCUCCUGGUUCCCUUGGCAUAGUCUGCCCUGUCUCUUCACCUCGAUUACUGGCUAUGGCUAAGCGGAAGCUGUUUAUCAUGGUGAGCAUGUGACAG